UCAGCUCUCUUCGCCUUUCGGCUAAGAUCAAGUAGUAUCUGUUCUUGUACACGCGUAAUUGCUGUCAUGUGCCUACGGGUACCCCAGUAAUUACUCAGUUUUUGGAAACCGGGCGGCGGCCUGCUGAGCUCCGCUCAUGUCGCUGUCCACAGUGUCGUUCCUAUUGCACUACUUGGUCCUGACGCAAAGUUUC
rnacentral:snRNA from 1 species